rnacentral:tRNA from 1 species
ACCGCGAUAGCUCAGCUGGUAGAGCGUCUACCCGAUAUGCGAAGGGUCGCCGGUUCGACUCCGGCUCGCGGUG